rnacentral:rRNA from 1 species
CCUACGGGGGGCAGCAGUGAGGAAUAUUGGUCAAUGGACGAGAGUCUGAACCAGCCAAGUAGCGUGAAGGAUGACUGCCCUAUGGGUUGUAAACUUCUUUUAUAUGGGAAUAAAAUGUUCCACGUGUGGGAUUUUGUAUGUACCAUAUGAAUAAGGAUCGGCUAACUCCGUGCCAGCAGCCGCGGUAAUACGGAGGAUCCGAGCGUUAUCCGGAUUUAUUGGGUUUAAAGGGAGCGUAGGUGGAUUGUUAGGUCAGUUGUGAAAGUUUGCGGCUCAACCGUAAAAUUGCAGUUGAAACUGGCAGUCUUGAGUACAGUAGAGGUGGGCGGAAUUCGUGGUGUAGCGGUGAAAUGCUUAGAUAUCACGAAGAACUCCGAUUGCGAAGGCAGUUCACUGGACUGCAACUGACACUGAGGCUCGAAAGUGUGGGUAUCAAACAGGAUUAGAUACCCUUGUAGUC